UCAUCUAAUUAGUGACGCGCAUGAAUGGAUUAACGAGAUUCCCACUGUCCCUAUCUACUAUCUAGCGAAACCACAGCCAAGGGAACGGGCUUGGUAGAAUCAGCGGGGAAAGAAGACCCUGUUGAGCUUGACUCUAGUCCGACUUUGUGAAGACACAUGAAGGGUGUAGCAUAGGUGGGAGCGCAAGCGCAAUUGAAAUACCACUACUUUUAUCGUUUCUUUACUUAUUCAGUCCAGCGGAGAGCGGGGCGCAAGCCCCUCGCUUCUGGAGUUAAGCGGCAACCGGCGCUCGUCGUCGGCCGCGAUCCGCUCUGAAGACAGUGUCAGGCGGGGAGUUUGACUGGGGCGGUACAUCUGUCAAAAGGUAACGCAGGUGUCCUAAGGCGAGCUCAGCGAGGACGGAAACCUCGCGUAGAGCAAAAGGGCAAAAGCUCGCUUGAUUUUGAUUUUCAGUACGAAUACAGACCGUGAAAGCGUGGCCUAUCGAUCCUUUUGACUUUAAGAGUUUUAAGCAAGAGGUGUCAGAAAAGUUACCACAGGGAUAACUGGCUUGUGGCAGCCAAGCG
rnacentral:rRNA from 1 species